rnacentral:tRNA from 1 species
GGGGAUCUAGCUCAGUGGUAGAGCACUUGCUUAGCAAGGGCAAGGCCCUGGAUUCGGUCCCCA